AGCUCAGUUGGUAGAGCAGAGGACUGAAAAUCCUCGUGUCGUUGGUUCGAUUCCGACC
rnacentral:tRNA from 1 species